GUACAACAGCAUUCAAUUCCUUUCCUAAAACUGGUAUGCUCUAUCUUAAAAACAGUUAGAAUUGCUCCCACUGGAUGUCUGUUUUAAAACCUUCGUAUUUCACACUUGUAAGUAUUAUUAGAUUUCAUGUGUGCGAGUGCGCCCAGGGUAGCAGAGUCCCAUAUUGAAGAUGUACCAUGUGACAGAGGGAAGUUUUGCUGCUGGGCUUAUUUUCCCCACUUUUCUGAAAGCCAUAUAGUAAAUCAAGAAAAUAUCCUGUAGCUUUGCCUGUGCAGCUGUAUAUGUGUGAUAAGGUGUGGUGGUAUUCUUUUCCUUACGUUCUUAAUAAAUGUACUGUAUCAUCAAAGCUUUGUGGAGUAGGCCAAGCCUUAUUUGCAGAUAAGUCAUACCAUUGCAACUGCAUUGUUUUUGGAGAUUCUUUAAGAUACUGGUCAAGUAUAAAGGAAGGAUUUGGUUCAGGUCAGUUGUGGAAAAGAAGGGAAUAAGGGAGACCAGCACUUAGGCCCCUUGCAGGUGGAAAAAGACAAACAUUUGAGUAUCUCAAGUCACUUGCAGGGACAGGAAAAUGGCACACAAAGAGCCACAGGGAAGAACAGCAGUUUAUUCUCAUGCGUGUAAAUUGGUGAUGUUUAACCCUUUGUAUCUUCUCCCCAUUGCUAUGCUGCUGGCGUGGGAAAGUUGACCAACUGGGACUGGCAACAAGCUGUAACAUGUGAUCUUGGCUUUCCUCAAACAUAGAUUGCUUUGCAGUCAUAACCGGAUCCUGCUCAGUCACGUGCCUUUGCCCUUGGUUAAAACAACACAUGUCUUUUUUUAGACUAUCUUAGAUCAUCUGACAUGCCCCCUCAAGGGGAAGAUAACACUUGACCAAAGAAGUUGCUGAACAGAUUUAAUUGCAUUGAUCCUUUUUUACAUGAACAAAGCCUUACUAAAAGUCUAAAAAAAUUGUCCAUGACCUUUGGUAUUCAUCUGAUUUUUUCCUGUUCCUUGAAGAAGCCUUUCAGUGCUCAUUGCUUCAGGGAAUGGGAAAGUAGAAAGCUCACUGACAACUGUUUUCCAACGCUAAUUUGCUGCCUCUCCAGAGGACAACGGCUUUCACUGAGAGACUUUCCUGCAGGAGCUGAAAAGGUGGUGCCGCACUGGAACAGGUUGCCCAAGGAGGCUGUGGAUGCCCCAUCCCUGCAGGCAUUCAAGGCCAGGCUGGAUGUGGCUCUGGGCAGCCUGGUCUGGUGGUUGGCGACCCUGCACAUAGCAGGGGGGUUGAAACUGGGUGAUCAUUGUGGUCCUUUUCAACCCAGGCCAUUCGAUGAUUCUAUGAUUCUCUUGUACCUUCUCUUGUAUCCCAAGAUGCAGUAGAACCCAUGUAUGAGGAAAGCAUGAGCAAUUGUAAAUUGUGGAUCUUUUUACAGGAGUGGGAAAGACAAAUUAAUGGACAAAAAGCCAAAGUUUUGCUUUUCCUGAGUUCUCAUUUACUGUCUAAAGCAGAAAUUCACAUGAUGUAGAAAUGAAAAUGUUUGGGAAACAGAUGGUUAGUUUGAGAAGAAAGACUACUUAAUUCUGUAGUAUUUAUUGUACCUGAUGUAUCUCUUCCCCUACUAAAAUCUCCUCUUAUGAAGUAUUAGUCUGCCCUUAGAAUUAAUGGAAUUAUUCAUCAUCAUCGUUACC
ensembl:lncRNA